rnacentral:rRNA from 1 species
AUGGGGGAGGACGCCGGCGAUGGCUACGGCACGCCACCGGCCGCGCUUGCGGCCAUCGUCGUCAAGGGCAAGCGCAGCAAGCGGCGCCGCGUGCACGCGGCCGCCGAGGCCGAGGUGACCGCGGUCACCACGGCCAGCGCCGCGGGAGAGGUGGCGUCGUCCUCCUCCUCGGUGGCGGACGGUGGCGGGUGGCGGUCUGGCGCGGACGAGGCGGCCUCCGGGUGCGUCACCGAGGAGGAGGAGGACAUGGCGCUCUGCCUCAUGCUCCUCGCGCGCGGCGGUGGCGGCCAGGGAAGCCGGGCCGGGCCGUCGUCCUCCUCCUCGUCGGUGGUGGUGAGGGACGACGUCGCGGUGGCCACGGCGAGGGAGGGCAAGUUCCGGAGCCGGCGCCCGGCGGACGGCGGCGAGGGGGAGUUCGUGUACGAGUGCCGGACGUGCGGCAAGUGCUUCCCGUCCUUCCAGGCGCUCGGCGGGCACCGCACCAGCCACAAGAAGCCGCGCCUCCCGCUUCCGCUCCCGCCCACCACGGCCACGACGGCGUCGUCCGAGGAGAAGAUGAAGCUGCCGCCGCAGGCCGCCGAGGAGAAGACGCCACCGCCGUCGCCGGCCGCUGCCGUUGAUCGGACGGUGCUGGCGAUCCCGGUCCCGGCGACGCCGCCCAAGCAAGAAGCUACGGCGACCGGCGUGUCGUCCAAGCAGCAGGGGCAGGGGAGGGUGCACGAGUGCUCCAUCUGCGGCGCGGAGUUCGGGUCCGGGCAGGCGCUGGGCGGGCACAUGCGGCGGCACCGCCCGCUCCUGCCGGCGUCGGCGUCCGUCUCUUCCACGGACGACGUGGCGGCGGUGCUGGUGAUCAGGAAGGAGAAGAGCCUCCUGGAGCUGGAUCUCAACAUGCCGGCGCCCUGCGACGACGCCGCGACCGCGACAUCGCCGGGCUCCUUCACGUUCGCCGUGAAGGAGCGGCCGUCUGUGCCGGCGGCGCUGCUGCCGUUCCGGGCGCCGGCGUCGGCCCUGGUGGACUGCCAUUUCUAG